UCGGGGUAAAAUAGUGAGUAGCCGACAUGGGGAAGUGAUCAAUCCUUGAGAUAAGUUUAAAUCUAUUUUUUUUUACUCCAUAAACUUUUUACCGUGGGUAAAAAGAUUUGUCUUGGGGUAUAAAAAACCAGAUUUAAAUUUAGCCCAAGGGUUGAUGAUGUAUUUUUCCCAUGAAGGCUGCUCACUAUUUUACCCACG
rnacentral:pre_miRNA from 1 species